CGCAGCCGGAAAAGAUCAAAUACUGCUGUUUGCGGGUUAUCGAUUGCGUCUCGACCGCUGAGAUCGACGAUCGAAUACGUCGAUGGUGUGACAGUGAUCGCGACGAAUCUUAAUGGCGCGAUCUAUUAUUUAAAUACGGUGAUGCCUCACCAAUUGAUUCAGUUUCGCUGUUAACGCGUGUUCACCGUUACGCUUACGUCCCAGCUAUCAGCUGGCUGAGUUGCUUUGAACUUGCCCCGGUUUCCUUGGAUACAAAGACAAAUUGAAGUGUCCAUUGAGGAAUAUCUAAAAGUUGUCCCAAAAUUCAAUUCGAAUGUUCAACAUUGAAGGAGAUGAUAUCUCGCACGAUAAUGCAAACUUGCGACAAUUGGUUUUUGCAUGUUAAGCUUAAUCGAACUGUACACGUCAUUGCGUUACCAUUAUACAUACUAAUUAUUAAAAUGUAUGCGAGUAUAGGAUCUCACAAGGUAUCACACUUAAGCUCGAACAUGUAAAUGUUUUGUAUUUGUGUUAAAACAUAGAUGAAAUCACAUUUUCGAUGAUUUUAAAAGGGGCGUAUUGUUGUUUUCGCAACUGUAAAUUAAGUCUAUGUUUGUCUGACACUUAACUUGCGAUACCAAGAGGGGAAGGUUUGAACAAAUUAAUGUUUCACAAAUGAAACAUUGCUUAAACACGUCUAAUUGUUCAAAAUAUUAUAAAAAUAUACACUAUUGUAUUUGGGGAGUGUGCAGCAUCGUUCUACGUAAAAAUGAAUUAGAUAACUGCUACAGUACUGUUUAAAACGAGAACGUAUUGUAGAAGAAACGUCUAUUGUUUAUAUCAUUUUUAUGGCUUUAUAUUACAUUCGUAUUAUAUGGUUAUCAUUCAUAUUAUAUUUCUUGUACUUACAUUAAUAUUCAUUAAAGUAGAACUCCGCUCAUGUGAUCUCCAUUUGUGUGAACUAAAUAGCAAUGCCUGAUCAACUAAAAUCUAUUCUGAAAUGACAGGUAAACUCUUAUUAAAUAAACCUCCCUUCAUAUAAAUGGAGUUCUACUGUAUUAUAGAUUAUGUAAAGGUCAUGGUAGAUCAAAUUUUCUAUAAAUAUUACAAAUCGAACAAGGUAACACUCAUCCGUGGGUUACCUUGAAAUCACCAGCAAUUAUUUCACCGACAAUGUUUACAUCGACACGAUCUCAGCGCCACCGCAUUUCAACGACAUUGUUUAUAUACCGACGCGUUGUUAUCGCCGAUACAUGUUUACAUCGAUCUCUCUUGUUUCAACGACAAAUGUGAUUAUCGACGCUUAGAACUUUUGGCAACAUAUUAACUAUACGUUUGAACGUCGUAUAGUACACACUUAUUGUAAGUGCUACGUUCACGCAUUAUUUACGGUAAAAGAAAUGGAUUUCUUAACGGAAGGUCACGGUAUUGUAAACGAAGUGCAACCAUUGUAUAAAUAGCACUGCACACUCAGAUUCUUCUUAUUUGAAGUUGCCUCGUCCGUACGGUCGGAAUAGAUCGAAACAGAACGAAUUCUUCGAAUAGAAAAUUUGAUCUUUUUCUCUUCGCAGUUACUACUCAAAAACUAAGGAUGAUACAAAAAAGUGACUUUUUGAUUUGCGUGUAACGUUGAACAAAAUGCAAAAAUAAUGUACUCCUCUAACUGAAUCAACGACCAGGACGGUAGUUGGAGCGACGAUUGUAAAGUAUUGAGGCGGCGAGGAAAUGAUUAUCAUGAACGUUUAACCUGACAAGUAUUGUGUCGUUAGAAACAGUAAUUGUGCGUCUCGUUCGGCGCAAUGACACAGCUGGACCGAUGGGAGACUUGCGUGACACGGUGCUGCGCGGCUCGGCAACGAACGAUGAGUUUAAUUAUCAUCAACAAGCAACAGGGUGACAUGAGACAGUGGAAGUGGUCGCAGGAGACCAACGACAGACAGAUCCACGGCGGCGCGAUGUCUCGGCACAAUCCCGUAGAAAGCCAGCGACGUUAAUUUCCAGGAUCGUGCGAGAUAUAUGCUGCACCUUACGCGCAACCACUCCUCUCGUAAUUCACUGAUUCCGUUGGAUUUACGACUGCAAUUCUCCGAGUCCCCCGGACUAGUCACGGCUUUCGUAUGCCCUCUCGACGAAAUUGACACAGGUCCGUGUAAAACCAGCGCCCGUUAAUGAAUUGCCACCCGGCGAUAACGUAACGCCGAAUCGAAUAAUACAUUUUCGGCAAAUAAUGGAAACAGGUGGCGAUCGCGUUAGUCGUUGGAACGCUGCACGCCCGUCUCGUUUCGUUUCCAGUCGAGCUUACGGGAACAAUAUGAAAGCAAGAUUUGGUAUUAUGAUUCAAACCAAAACGUGUUUGUUGUUCUACGUUCCUUCAGUGCUGCAAACACGCUAUAGAAUAAACCAAAGUCUCGAAUGGUUUCAUAAAAUUAACAAAAGUUCAAUUUCACGAUUUAUGUUCUACUCUGAAUGACUGGAUUUUGCUGGGGGACUGAAUCCGAUGAUUCAAAUGUAUUAAAUGUUCUAAAGAAGUAUGCUGUUGUGCUGGGGUAAAUUCUUAAUUUUUAAAAUUAAGAAUAAAUGUUCGAAUGAUGGAGAAAAA